rnacentral:rRNA from 1 species
GAUGAACGCUGGCGGCGUGCCUAAUACAUGCAAGUCGAGCGAACAGACGAGGAGCUUGCUCCUCUGACGUUAGCGGCGGACGGGUGAGUAACACGUGGAUAACCUACCUAUAAGACUGGGAUAACUUCGGAAAACCGGAGCUAAUACCGGAUAAUAUAUUGAACCGCAUGGUUCAAUAGUGAAAGACGGUUUUGCUGUCACUUAUAGAUGGAUCCGCGCUGCAUUAGCUAGUUGGUAAGGUAACGGCUUACCAAGGCAACGAUGCGUAGCCGACCUGAGAGGGGGAUCGGCCACACUGGAACUGAGCAACGGUCCAGACUCCUACGGGAGGCAGCAGUAGGGAAUCUUCCGCAAUGGGCGAAAGCCUGACGGAGCAACGCCGCGUGAGUGAUGAAGUUCUUCGGAUCGUAAAACUCUGUUAUUGGGGAAGAACAAAUGUGUAAGUAACUAUGCACGUCUUGACGGUACCUAAUCAGAAAGCCACGGCUAACUACGUG